rnacentral:rRNA from 1 species
GACGAACGCUGGCGGCGUGCUUAACACAUGCAAGUCGAACGAAGAGCGAUGGAAGCUUGCUUCUAUCAAUCUUAGUGGCGAACGGGUGAGUAACGCGUAAUCAACCUGCCCUUCAGAGGGGGACAACAGUUGGAAACGACUGCUAAUACCGCAUACGAUCUAAUCUCGGCAUCGAGGAUAGAUGAAAGGUGGCCUCUACAUGUAAGCUAUCACUGAAGGAGGGGAUUGCGUCUGAUUAGCUAGUUGGAGGGGUAACGGCCCACCAAGGCGAUGAUCAGUAGCCGGUCUGAGAGGAUGAACGGCCACAUUGGGACUGAGACACGGCCCAGACUCCUACGGGAGGCAGCAGUGGGGAAUCUUCCGCAAUGGACGAAAGUCUGACGAAGCAACGCCGCGUGAGGGAUGACGGCCUUCGGGUUGUAAAGCUCUGUUAAUCGGGACGAAAGGCCUUCUUGCGAAUAGUGAGAAGGAUUGACGGUACCGGAAUAGAAAGCCACGGCUAACUACGUG